UACGUAGGGACCGAGCGUUGUCCGGAAUCAUUGGGCGUAAAAGAGCGUGUAGGGCGGCCACUUAAGUCCUGCGUGAAAUCUUGCGGGCUCAACCGCAAGCGGUCGUGGGAAACUGGGUGGCGUAGAGUGCGGGAGAGGAGAGUGGAAUUCCUGGUGUAGCGGUGAAAUGCGUAGAUAUCGGGGAGGAACACCUGUGGCGAAAGCGGCUCACUGGACCACAACUGACGCUGAUGGCGCGAAAGCUAGGGGAGCAAACAGGG
rnacentral:rRNA from 1 species